rnacentral:other from 1 species
UUAUCCCUGCUGUGUGCGUGAUGGGUUUCUACAUUUGAGCCAACGCCACUUGAAAGGGAAUAGGCAAAUCCGCAGAGGGGAUGUAGUAGCCUAAGGGCAAGGCAGUAUCCUCGCGAAAGCAUUCCCACCUGCCUAUGCAGGUUCAAGUACAGGAGUUCACACGGCAUGGCGGGGUGUUU